ACCGAACGGCGUACGUGACUCGAAAAGAGGAAAAGAAAACCCCGAAAUUGAGAGAAAACCACGAAAAGGAUGAAAAUUGGAAAUGUUCUCCCGCAAGGAAACGAAUAAAGCAACAACAACAACUACAAAUGCAAUGGAACGAAGUGAAUUGAAAAAGAGGCAACAACAAAAAUCCACCCCGGCAUUACUGGCAGGCUAAAAAAAAAAAAAAAAAUUUUCCACUCCGAAAACGAAAACUCAGUUGCAAGUUGCAACAUGCUGCAAAUAGCGGCUGUUGCCAGGCCGCAAAAAAGAUACGAAACGAUACGAGAGAUACCAGCUACAAGAUACGAAUGUAUCUUCAGAAUUUCCUUUUCGCCUUUUCCACGGAAGCGGGCGAAUGCAAAUUUUACAGCGCUCGCCGCUUCGGCAACCAAAAAGUAAAUCUCGAGAGAAAAACCCAUCAAGUCGCAGGAAAAUCCCUAUGAGGAAUAUUAAAUCAAAGUUUUUUUUUGUGCCCAACGUUACUUCCAUUAAAUAUUUAAUAAAAGCGCUGUCUGUGCGCAUUUCCCGUUAGUUUUCAUUUGUUUGUAACGCACGAAGUUAAAUAUUCUGUGCCCGUUUUUAUGGUUAUUCGUAAAAAUAAAUUUCAGUUCAAUUUCAUAAAAAAGCUAUUUUUAAACCAUAAUGACUUUAAAAAAAAAAUUGUAAUCAAUUAAAUUAUUCUAAUCUGGUAGUAAAUUUGUGCCAUAAAACAGCAAAAUUUAUUUGAAAAACGAGCCUUCUUUGAUUUAAAAAGCCCGGCAUUGUUGUUUGCUGACCAAAGCUGAAAAUGCUGCACGUAGAUUGAAAACGAAAGAUUGAAAUGUAUCUCAUGAAUGCCCCGCCCACCGAAAAAAACAAAAUAAAGGAACUGAGCUGUAGAAAAGCAGAUAUCCAACUUGUCUUCAUGUGAUGCUGGCUCAAAUAAAUAAAAUCAAAUUUCUUUCAGAUUGAAAUGAAAUUCCAUGAAGCACGCAUGUGUGCUUGUAUCUUUGUAUCUUUGGGAUAUCUUUCGUGGCACAUUAGCUUUAUGUAGAUGUGUUUGGUUCAGAUAAUAAAUGAAUUGAAACGAGAACUUCUUUUGUUUGACUUUUGGCCCCUGACUUUUUGCCACAUUGCGAAGUGAACUGAACUGAACGGAUUUUGAAACUGAUUUCAUUGAUAAACCUGAGCACUCUUUGAAAUUUCGCAAUCUUUGAAAUGCGAGCCCCAGCCUCUAAUGGGGCGUGGCCCGAGCUGAUUAGAAACAAACUGCCAAAACGAGCCUCUUAAAAAAUAAACAACAAAGAACUGUGAUUCAGGUCGGCCAACAGACGAAUUUCAGGGGUUAAUGAUCAGAGAAAUUUAUUGCCAACAAAAAGAUACUCACAUAUACGGGUAUAAAUUGGCUUAUAUAUUGGCUUAGAUAGCUGAUGAUGCCUGUUGUUUAGUCAUUUCUAUAAUAUCAACAAUAAAUGUAGAAAAUAUAGUUGGCAAUUUAUAAAAUAUAAAUCCCCAUUACAAGUUCUACUAAUUACUUUUAUUUAAUUCACAUUAAGCAUCCCCCACUUUCAAUUGACUAAAGUAUCUCAUUUCGAUUACUCAAUUUGCAAUUGUUUUCCCAUCAUUAUUCAUGAACAGUUCAAAAUGACUUUAAUGCAGAAAAUUUAAAUUUGAAAAAUUUCGCAAGGUAAAUCAAUCAACUGUGAGAUUGAAAUCCACUUUCCCAACCGUUGCCUUUGUGACUUUGCGAUACAUGGGCAGCACAUAUAGAGAACUUUCCCUCGGCGUGUUCUCCGCUUUUCCGGGAAAGCAAUUUUCACAAAAGUUUACGCUUUGGCUUUGGCUUUCGCUCUUGUGGCCCCCUCGAAGGCAAUUUGUAAAUUUAAAUUAGUUUUACUAAACACAACACAUUUUCACACCGGCACACAUCCAUCCAUAUGUAUGCAUAAAUUUUCAUUAAAAAAAUAAGAAGAGCGAGUGCGGGGAAAAUCGUUGAACGUGUGCAGAACCCAAGAAAAUUAUCAAGAACAAGUUGAUUUUUCCUUGCGCUUGUUUUUAUUUGGUUUUCCAGGUGGGGGAGGCCCUGCCAAAAUGUUUCGCCGAAACGAGCAGGGAGAUCAACUUUCGCGGAUUGUUCGAGAAAAAGAGGCAACAUAGAAGUAGAAAAGUUAUGACGAGCGGAAAUUCGGGAAGUUCAUUGUGCCCGGAAAGUCUUCAGAUUCAGAUACAUAUAUGUAUGUACACAGAUAUGUUUCCGGGCUGUCGGCCAAAGUUAAUGCCAAGGAAUUUGGCAAGUAAUUUAUGACAGCCAAAUGGAAAUGGAAAACAAAUGGCGAUAAGCUAAUUUGAUAAAGGUGUUUGAUCGAUCCACUGCGAUAACGACGAUUUGCAAUUGAAAAGCGAAAAUCAUUCGCAUUUUGCAGAUACAAAUCGCUGACGUGGAUAUGCACUGUUCGUAAAUGGGAGAUGUUGAUAUAAAGUAAAUCAAAAUGAAAAACUCUAAAUUGUGAUAAUAUUUUAAUAGAAAAAUGUUAAGCUAAGAUAUAUAUGUAUACAAUUUAAAAUAAACAGAACUAAUUUAAUACCAGAUUGAUUUGAUUAAGAUACAAUUCAGGCCUUUUUUGUUUAAAAUAAAUAAUAUUUACUGCUUUCAUCAUUAAUUUUCAACUGAAAAGUAAGUAGCUAAAAAGUAAUGUAUCUGCUCAACGCAAACAAAAAAAAACGAGAUACAAAACGGCAUGCGUGGCGCCACCUAGCGGCCAGAGUUUCCUUUGCACCGGCGACGUGACCGAAUGAACGUGUGAGUGCGAACGAGAUGGUGUGCGACAAUUUUCCGCCAGGAAAAAAAGAAAACGAUUUGGCAGUUUGUCUUCGGGGAAAGAAAAUGCCUAAAAUUAGAGCACAAAUUAGAUUUCAAUUGAAUUGAAAUGUCUGCGGAGAAAAGUGUCCCACAGAUGCAUAAUUGAUUUAUGCAAACGAACUGGCAGAAGAAACUGGCCAGAAGUUUCCUCUACUUUAUAAAAGUAACUAUGCAAAUAAAUCGCCUAUUUAUUAUUUAUUUAUGUGCAAAAUGAGUUUCUUUUCUCUUGCUACUUUUCACGUCUGAUUUAAAUAAUCUGUAUUUUGUAAUAAUUUUUGUAUGAAAAUCUCUUUCGCUAGAAACACGUUUGAGUGCAAAAUGAUGUACGUUCGUGCGCUCUUUCAGUUUGCGUAAACCACUCAAGAGAGUUUCACGUGUAACGCGCGCUCUUAGGUUCUCUAUAAAAGUAUUUCUCAUCCACCAAUUCGCGCUCCAAUUUUCACUCACUUCGUCUUUCACAGCUGAUUCUUUUGCUCUCAGCUGUAGCUGGUCGGCGAAAAUAAUUAACUGGAACAGGCUCUCUUAUUGGCUUUUCCUGCUGAAAAGUGCCAUAACUAUAGUUAUUUGCUGCAUUUUUAAAUGCACUGAACGUUAAUUAAUGGUUUGCUAUAUUAUUUAGCUGGUUUUCAUGCAUUUAUUGCACUGCUCGCUGUCUCUCUCUCUCUCUCUCCGCUCAAAACUUGCAGUAAUUUUACUGGCUCUCCGCUGCUCUUUCGCCGAGUUUGCAGCUGUUUCGCUCAUCAUAUGUUUCUGAGUCGAGCCUCCCACUGCCCCCCUGCACCAGCAGCAACCCCCACCGCUAUGUGCAAC